AUUGAACGCUGGCGGCAGGCUUAACACAUGCAAGUCGAGCGGAGAUGAGGUGCUUGCACCUUAUCUUAGCGGCGGACGGGUGAGUAACGCUUAGGAAUCUGCCUAUUAGUGGGGGACAACAUUCCGAAAGGAAUGCUAAUACCGCAUACGUCCUAAGGGAGAAAGCAGGGGAUCUUCGGACCUUGCGCUAAUAGAUGAGCCUAAGUCGGAUUAGCUAGUUGGUGGGGUAAAGGCCUACCAAGGCGACGGUCUGUAGCGGGUCUGAGAGGAUGAUCCGCCACACUGGGACUGAGACACGGCCCAGACUCCUACGGGAGGCAGCAGUGGGGAAUAUUGGACAAUGGGGGAAACCCUGAUCCAGCCAUGCCGCGUGUGUGAAGAAGGCCUUAUGGUUGUAAAGCACUUUAAGCGAGGAGGAGGCUACUGAGACUAAUACUCUUGGAUAGUGGACGUUACUCGCAGAAUAAGCACCGGCUAACUCUGUGCCAGCCGCCGCAGUAAUAC
rnacentral:rRNA from 1 species